rnacentral:tRNA from 1 species
UGACCGAUGGUGUAACUGGCAACACGUCUGUUUUUGGUACAGAAGAGUCCAGGUUCGAGCCCUGGUCGGUCAACCA